UGCAGCCUGGGGUGUUCGAAAGCGGAGAACGUCCUUGAGCCGAUAAUUUUUUCACCGGGGUUCGGGCUGUUAUUGGUGUUGUGCAAGUCCGGCAUGUACCGGGAAGCCUGAUCCGAUACCAAGAUCCCCACCUAGAGCCAUGGGUUCUAGGGCCAAUACCUGCAACGGCAUUCUGGGUGUGC
rnacentral:other from 1 species